GCAAAAACGUGGUUGAUUGAGAAUCGUGUGGAAAACAUACGAGACUGUAUCAACGAAUGAAAUCGGUAAAAGAUGGAGAGAUCGUAUGUCUCUAGUUUUCGAUCACUGCAACCCUCAUAAACACGUGGUCUCUUCGUCUUCUUUUGUAUCUUUUUCGUCACUGUUUCGGUACGAAUUUUAUCAGUUUAUCAGAAAAUACUUUUCCUAUUAUUUUCUUCUUU
ensembl:ncRNA K07F5.21 ncRNA